rnacentral:rRNA from 1 species
CCUACGGGUGGCAGCAGUGAGGAAUAUUGGUCAAUGGACGGAAGUCUGAACCAGCCAAGUCGCGUGAAGGAAGACGGCCCUACGGGUUGUAAACUUCUUUUGUACAAGGGUAAACUUGAACACGUGUACUUAGCUGAAAGUACUUUACGAAUAAGGAUCGGCUAACUCCGUGCCAGCAGCCGCGGUAAUACGGAGGAUCCAAGCGUUAUCCGGAUUUAUUGGGUUUAAAGGGUGCGUAGGCGGGUUGAUAAGUCAGAGGUGAAAUGUCCGGGCUUAACUCGAGAACUGCAUUUGAUACUGUGGGUCUAGAGAGUAGGUGCGGUAGGCGGAAUGCGUGGUGUAGCGGUGAAAUGCUUAGAGAUCACGCAGAACUCCGAUUGCGAAGGCAGCUUACCAAUCUAUAUCUGACGUUGAGGCACGAAAGCGUGGGGAUCAAACAGGAGUAGAUACCCGAGUAGUC